UAGGAAAACAUGAAACAAAGCUAAACACAACCCAAACCAAAACACAGACCAUGACAGGUAUAAUAUUACAAGAAUUGAAUCUAAUAAUUCACAGGACAAUCAAUACAAUAAUAAUACAUUUUGAAUAUUACGAGAUAGCUGGGAUAGGCUCCAGUACGCCCGCGACCCUAGUGAGGAUAAGUGGUCCAGAAAAUGGAUGGAUGGAUGGAUAUUACGAGAAUAAGACUCAGCAUUUAUGAAAAUGAUGCCGUCUCAGCAGACUACUCUGAUUUCUCAUCAUUGGACAAGGAAAUCAACAAUACAUGCAACUCCUUUUAGUAGGAUGGUAAAAAAAACCUUCCAAACUCCAAAGAUUACAAGGGGAGGACACUCCAAAUCAUCUCCAGCAAUCUCAGUAAUGGCCCUGAGACGCCGCCGCCUUUGUCCCGUAAUGGUGACAGAUGAAUGACUGGGCAGAAGGGGGACUGUCUGGACGCCUCGCGAAUGGCCGAUGAGCGCAUGCACACACACAAACACACACAUGCACACAAACACCACUCCGCUCACAGUCGGCAUGUUUGCAGGUAAUUGUCUCUUUUUGCGCUACUGUGGUGUUAGCAUUUACAGCAUCUUGAACGAUCCCGCUUAAAGAAGUUUUAAUUUUUGUGUUCUUUUGGAGUAAAGAUGACAUUUAGAAAGUCACAAAUGAGACCUCACCUCAUUUGGGACCGCGACAUCCUUCAGAAAUAGAACCUGGACAGUAAAGCCUUUAAUGUUGGCACACACGUCAUUAUUGAUGCUUUUCCAUUGGAUGAAAGGGCAUUUUUACUACUUGAUUUUGUCUAAAAAUUAAUCUGACACGUGUGCUUUGGACAGAGCAGUAGUAUACACCACAGUCUCUUUUCUAAAGCACUUGUCCUCAUCAAGCUGGAGCCCAACCCCGAUGACUUCGGUGGUGGGUGCACCUUUUGAUGGUCGCCAGCCAGUCGCAGCGCACAUAUCUUGUAAGCAAACAACCAUUCACACGCAAUUCACUCCUAUGGACAAUUUCUUUCUGUCGUCGAUGAACAAACGUAUUGGAAAUGUGGGAAUACCCAAAGAAAAACCCGAAAGCAUGGGGAGAACAUGAAAACACAAAGCAUGGCCCAAGUCAAAAUUUCAAACUCUUUGACUGUGAGGCAGACAUCCUAGCCAUUGUGCCACCGAUGCAUCAAUAAUCGACCCAAAAAAAGCACGAUAAUGCAAAUUGCACAUGAAAUUUUCCCCAUUGUGGGACUCAUAAAGGUUGUCUUAACAUUAACUUACCCUUUUCCUGCACCUUACACUCCAGUGUUACUCGCAGUAUGACACUCCACUGUCUCCAUUUUGCUGCUCUAUUGCCUUGCUGCCCGCUGUCUCUUCUCAGAUAAAAUGUGUCUCCUUAGUCAAUACAGGAGACACACGUCAGGUGGUUUUCAUACAUUCCCGCAAUACUCAAAAACAACUGACCCUAACCAGGUAAAUAGAGCUGACCCAAGUCUAUGCAGUCGAAAGCAGCACAAGAAUUUUGGGACUCACAGACCACACAGUAA